UACGAAGGGUGCAAGCGUUACUCGGAAUUACUGGGCGUAAAGCGUGCGUAGGUGGUUCGUUAAGUCUGAUGUGAAAGCCCUGGGCUCAACCUGGGAAUUGCAUUGGAUACUGGCGGGCUAGAGUACGGUAGAGGGUGGCGGAAUUCCUGGUGUAGCAGUGAAAUGCGUAGAUAUCAGGAGGAACAUCCGUGGCGAAGGCGGCCACCUGGACCAGUACUGACACUGAGGCACGAAAGCGUGGGGAGCAAAC
rnacentral:rRNA from 2 species